rnacentral:rRNA from 1 species
AAUGAACGCUGGCGGCGCGCCUAAUACAUGCAAGUCGAGCGAAGAAGACGUAGGCAAUACGUUUGUAAAGCGGCGAACGGGUGAGGAAUACAUGGGUAACCUACCUAGAGUGGGAAUAACGUAGCCGAAAGGUUAGCUAAUACCGCGUACGCUCCUUGGACUUCGGUUCAGGGAGGAAAGCGAUGCCGAGGGUAUCGCGCUCUUGGAUGGGCUCAUGUCCUAUCAGCUUGGGUGAGGUAACGGCUCACCAAGGCUUCGACCGGGUAGCUGGUCCUGAGAGGACGAUCAGCCACACUGGGCACUGCGACACGGGGCCAGACU